AUGGAGGAUAGACCACCUGCAUUGGGAGAACGGGCCAUCACCUCCCUUGAUAGCCAAAUCCCACAGAAAUGUCCAUCUCAGGCCACACCCUCAGGUUAUGUGUAUUUUGAAACAGGAAAUCUCGCCAUCCUCACCAAAGCCAUUUCCUUGAGAGGAUUUUAUCUGGUUUGUCUCCUUGACUCCAGGCAGGGCUCCAUUCCAACCAGAUGGAAGAAUGCAGACAUCUCACAUCAUUUACACCCAGAAGGCUGUCAGCAGCGGCGCUCAGGGAGUGAGAGUGUUUAA
rnacentral:lncRNA from 1 species